AGCUAAUGAGUAUUUGCCCCCGGGGAAGGGAGCAUGCAUGGUAGGAAGGCUGUGGGUGCUGGAGGCACCUUCACAGGCAGAGCCGAUCUGCAGAAGAUACGGGAAGUAAACCCACAGUCUGCACUCGGUAGAAUUACAAUGUUGUAAGGACAACUGAAAUGAGAAGAAAUUCAGGUUCGUUGCCCAUACUACUUGGUGCUGCCGCGCAGCGCUAAAGACUUUGUUUCACAGAUCUGCAGCCCAGAUAUUCCUAUUUGGGAGAACCUGAGGUUCAGGGGAUUAUAAAGGAUGCGUGGGAGUAUUAGGCAGUUCUCCAUGCUGAAGAUGAAAAAGACUCUCACAGAAAUACUUAAUGGCCUUUGAAACAAGAAUAAAGCACGCAGGAUAUUUUUAGAAGCCCGCCUGCACUUGCCAACACCUGCAUCUGCUGAUGGCAGAGGCUCCCGAGUGUCGACACCCAGCACCUCUCGUUGCCACAUAUCGCUCCGGAGAUUUAUACAAGAUUAUCUGCUGCAGCCAGAAGAAAAGGGGGAGUGUGAAACGCACGUGCUUGGCUGAAGCAGGGAGCCUACCCCAACUAAAGCGUCCCUGACAAAUCACCUCUGAAAAACUUCAUGGAUCUCAGUUCCCCUUCUGCAAACCGAGAACCUGUUUGUGCUUCGAAGAUGCCACUCUGGAUCACUGAAGGUUGCAUCGUGGGAAUAUCCCGGGGUGCACGAGAAGGACCGAGGUGGGACUUGCCCGGCAAGACUUUGACAGCUCCCUCCUUUGCCCAUCUCUUCUCUUGGUUAAGAACAUGUUAUCUCCAACUAUGUCAUCUGUUUUGGACUUCUUUCUGGAAAGAUAAAUGGUGGCUGCUGCCCAAAGACACCGGCACUAGUCAGUUAUGGAAAUGCUGAAGUGAUGCAAGUUAAAAUUUCUUUGGAACUCACACUUCAAAGCAGCAUAAAAAUACAGAGCGGUUCGAUGUUUUGCAUGUGUACCUACCACUCCAAAGAAUGGUUAGAAGCAGGUUGAUAAGUGGGGGUUUGUAAUUAUCCUGUGUGUUUUUCCUUUCACCCCAUUUGCCAUCAGUUUCCUUAAAAAUAGACACACACACUGCAAUGAAGCAUUUUCCCAUGAAAGACUACCAAUGCCAGAUUGUGUUAGGAAAUUACUUGUUAUUACUUGUUUGGUUUUUGAUAUUAAAAAUUUGUAGUGUCUGAAUUUUCCAGCAAGAGAAACUUAAUCUUAUUGUAAGUAUUAUUGCCAGUAAUAACAUUUCUGAAGGAACCAGUAAUGGAAAA